ensembl:snoRNA SNORD33 Small nucleolar RNA Z195/SNORD33/SNORD32 family
GCAGCCUGUGAUGAGAAUGUCUCCCACUCAAAUUCGAGUUUCCCAACCAUGAGAUAACUUUACAUGCACUACCAUCUGAGGCUGG